UACUAGCUUUAGCGAUGGAUCGGUCGAUUCGCGUAUCGAUGAAAAACGCAGCAAACUGCGUUAUUUACCACGAAUUGCAGACGCUUUGAGUGGUGAAAUUUUGAACGCACAGCGCCGUCGGGACUAUUCCCUUCGGCACGUCUGGUUCAGGGUU
rnacentral:rRNA from 1 species